UUUUUAAAAAAUAUAAUAUCCAGGUCUGAUAAGGUACUCGACUGGACUUCUGCCAUUUUGAAGUUACUGUUUUUUUUGUUGUUUUUUACCACUGCCUUUUCAAGACAAACAAAAUCUGUCUUAUAAAGGAGCUUGCGUUGACAUGGGAUGGGCCAAGUCGGUGGAUUUAGGUCUGGUGUGUAGAUGUAGCUACUGUAGAGUUAAUCCUUGGUCUUCAUCUUGACACGUUUACAUAUGGUGACAGGCACAAUAACAGUCUAGCCAGAAAGUGGAAAAUAAGGUCAUGUAGCUAAUAUAGAUCAGAGUGUACCAGGGUCUGUCUAGCUAUUUUGGUACUCUCCUUGGACUCCGUUAUGGGUGGUUUUUGUAGACAUGUUUUUUGCGAUAGAGGUCAUGGCCCAUACUUGUUACAGAAUCUCUGUUUGUUCUACAUGUUUUGGUACAAGACCAGUGAAUGGAUAGAGCAGGGUUUAGUCAUUGAGCCAAGUGCUAAAUAUAGUAACAUGUCCCUCAGCAGCUUAGAGCUGUGGUUGGUUAUCCUGCACUUUGACAAAAACGUUCAGCCUCAGAUUGUGGCACUCGGGGUGUGUGAUGCUAAAGUAGAGUCAGAGCUGUUUUUUCCCACCUAAAGUUUCCAUCAUCCAGUGCUUUAAGCCAGGGGAGGGGGAUCCCUACAGUAGAAACCGGUCACAGAGGAAGCAGCCAGGGACUCACACAGAAGAGACUGGUGUAUGUUUGUCUAAAGUGGGCCAAAGCAAACUGUUUUACGAUGAACACUUUAUCAUUUCAUGAAUUGCAUGGACUUCAUAUUUCAUUCAGUGAUCUAUCCUCAGUUUUGUCAGCACAUGACAGGUCUCGAGUAGCAAAGGGCACUGCCUGGGACACAUGACUGGAAAUUGAAUCAUACUAUAGCUUUUAUACAAACUUAAUCUAUAUACCAUAAAGUAAUUACACUUUAAAGUCAGUCAAAUGUAACUACCUGCUCUAGGUAGGUGGUCAUUCUCAGCCUUGAGACUGUAGUUGGAGCAAGCAUAGGGGCCAACUAAAUCUGAGCGUUUAUACCUAGCUAGCUACAAUGUAACCUCAAUCUGAGCGUUAUAGCUAGCUAGCUACAAUGUACCCUCAAUCUGAGCGCUAUAGCGAGCUAGCUACAAUCUUGUGUAAGCUUGUGUUGAAUUAGAACAUGUGCUGUGUCAGCGGUAUAGGGUGGCAACUGGCAAGCCAAAGCCAGCCAGGAGAGAAACUCUUCCAAAAUCCUCUGGACUUUUACUGCCUUGUUGUCAAUACUGUGCCUCAUAUUCAAGAUUUUUGAUUAUUUUCCACAAUUCUUUUCUCACAUGAUAUUUGCACAAAACUCC
rnacentral:lncRNA from 1 species